rnacentral:rRNA from 1 species
UUCGCAAUGCCCGAAAGGGUGACGAAGCGACGCCGCGUGUGGGAUGAAGGCCCUCGGGUUGUAAACCACUGUCGGGAGUUAAGAAUUGUAGGGGUGCUAAUAGUAUUUCUACUUGACUAAGGCUCCGGAGGAAGCCACGGCUAACUCUGUGCCAGCAGCCGCGGUAAUACAGAGGCGGCAAGCGUUGUUCGGAAUUAUUGGGCGUAAAGAGCAUGUAGGCGGCUAUGUAAGUCGGUUGUGAAAGCCUUCCGCUUAACGGAAGAAUGGCGGUCGAAACUGCAUGGCUUGAGUGCGGGAGGGGAGAGUGGAACUUCUGGUGGAGCGGUGAAAUGCGUAGAUAUCAGAAGGAACGUCGGCGGCGAAAGCGACACUCUAGACCGUAACUGACGCUGAGUGUGCGAAAGCUAGGGGAGCAAACGGGAUUAGAUACCCCGGUAGUCCUAGCCGUAAACGAUGGGCACUAAGUAGAGGGGUUUU